CCUUGGCCGCGCCUGCGCACUGGGCCUGCAAGGUCGCGCUCUCCGAGACUGCCUGGGACUCUGCAAGAGUUCGUCUGAAGUCGGCCUAGCCCUUCUGGCAGUUCUCGAACAGCUCCGAUGCCGCCGGGGUUCUGACGGGGGUGCACGAGAGCAGGAUACGAUCGUCUCAGUCUCCGACGCCGAAGGAACGAGAAGCGAACUUCACGCGAGGUUUCGGAACUGUCGCGAGAAUCAGAAUGGGAAACGUAAUCCUUGGCUUGAAGGACAGGUGAAAUGAACAGAAUUGCAGGAUGUCCAGGAUAAGGCCGGGGUAGGUCCUGCCUAUCGGAGGAACGGAGCCACCGACCGAGCUGUGAUGACACAACGCUGUGGGGGCGGAGAUACCGAGCCGGAGCCGUCAGGGAGCUCUUAAUAGCUUUGAGCUUCCGAGGCUUGAAGUCAUUAAAUAAAAUAACCAAUCCACGGA